AUGUUUUUCACUCUUGAUUCAACAACAGUCACAGCAGCACCAGCACCUGGCCACACCACAGAGCAGAAGCUACAAAAACAAGGACGUGGACUGUAUUGCAUCAGCUCAACCCAAACGUGGAGCAGCGUGGAGUUCAUAAUGACGAAUCUGAGUUUGAAGAGUCCGUGAAAGCAAAGGUUUUUAAUCCCUUCAGAAGGAUUCCACCUAUAAGGAGAACAAGUGACAGGAGAACUAGGUUCAGUGUGGAGGAGGCAGAGCUGCAAACAUGGAGCAGGAUGAAGUCGUGGAGAGUGUUAAACAAAAGCUUAAAGAGCAUCUCCAGGAAAAGUUUACCUGGAUAAAUGAGGGCACAUCGGAUAAUCGGUCUCGACUUGACAGCAUCUACACAAAACUCUACGUCACUCAGCAGGCUCAGGAUUUUGGUUCCAUAUCACAUGAGAUUCUUGAUCACUUUAAUGUCCCAGAUCAGCAGUCAUCAAUUUCACAGUUCUUUUAUCAACAGAUCGAUUUCUUAAAUAUCUUUAAACCAGGAAGA